rnacentral:rRNA from 1 species
AAAAACAUUUCUUAUAUAUUGAUUAUAAGUAAAAUCUGCUCCAUGUCCAUAAAUAGCCGCAGAAUUUUAACUGUGCUAAGGUAGCAUAAUCAUUUACCUUUUAAUUAAAGGUUUGUAUGAAUGAUUCCACAAUUAUAUUAUUUUUUUACUAAUAAUCACUGAAUUUAAACUAAAAAUAAAAAUGUUUUUAUAAAAAAAAUAGACGAUAAGACCCUAUUGAACUUUACUUAAGUUAAGCUGGGGAAGCUAAUUAAAUAUAAUUUUAAUUUAGUAUGAUAAAUAUAUUUCUAAUAAGAUUAUAUUUAACAAGUUACCAUAGGGAUAACAGCGUAAUACAAUUUUAAAGCUCAUAUUAAAAAUUAAGUUUACGACCUCGAUGUUGAAUU